GGUUCCAUGAUGUAGUGAUUAACACAUCUGCCUUACACACAGAAGGUUCUGAGUUUGAUUCCCAGUGGAACUG
rnacentral:tRNA from 1 species